rnacentral:tRNA from 1 species
GAUAAGGUGGCUGAUAAUAGGCGUUAGACUGUAAAUCUAAAUAUAAAUUAAAAUUUUCUUAUUA